rnacentral:rRNA from 1 species
CCUACGGGAGGCAGCAGUGAGGAAUAUUGGUCAAUGGGCGCGAGCCUGAACCAGCCAAGUCGCGUGAGGGAAGACGGUCCUAUGGAUUGUAAACCUCUUUUGUCGGGGAGCAAAAGACGCCACGCGUGGCGUUCCGAGAGUACCCGAAGAAAAAGCAUCGGCUAACUCCGUGCCAGCAGCCGCGGUAAUACGGAGGAUGCGAGCGUUAUCCGGAUUUAUUGGGGUUAAAGGGUGCGCAGGCGGAAGAUCAAGGCAGCGGUAAAAGUGAGAGGCUCAACCUCUUCGAGCCGUUGAAACUGGUUUUCUUGAGUGAGCGAGAAGUAUGCGGAAUGCGUGGUGUAGCGGUGAAAUGCAUAGAUAUCACGCAGAACUCCGAUUGCGAAGGCAGCAUACCGGCGCUCAACUGACGCUCAUGCACGAAAGUGUGGGUAUCGAACAGGAUUAGAUACCCCAGUAGUC